rnacentral:tRNA from 4 species
GCCGAGGUGGCGGAAUGGUAUACGCGGUAGUCUCAAAAACUAUUAGUCGCAAGGCUGUGAGGGUUCGACUCCCUCUCUCGGCACAA